UAUCUCUCACUCUGCCUGCCCUUACAG
rnacentral:piRNA from 1 species